rnacentral:rRNA from 1 species
CUACGGGACGCACCAGUGAGGAAUUUUGCGCAAUGGGCGAAAGCCUGACGCAGCAACGCCGCGUGAGUGAUGAAGGCCUUCGGGUCGUAAAGCUCUGUCAAGUGGGAAGAACCUAUGUAAUGUUAAUAUCAUUAUAUACUGACGGUACCACUGAAGGAAGCACCGGCUAACUCCGUGCCAGCAGCCGCGGUAAUACGGGGGGUGCAAGCGUUAUUCGGAAUCAUUGGGCGUAAAGGGCACGUAGGCGGCCUGGUAAGUCAGAUGUGAAAGCCCGGGGCUUAACCCCGGAAGUGCAUUUGAUACUGUCAGGCUUGAGUAUGGGAGAGGGAAGUGGAAUUCCUGGUGUAGAGGUGAAAUUCGUAGAUAUCAGGAGGAACACCGGUGGCGAAGGCGACUUCCUGGACCAAUACUGACGCUGAGGUGCGAAGGCGUGGGUAGCAAACAGGAUUAGAUACCCCUGUAGUC